rnacentral:rRNA from 1 species
UACGGGGGGGGCAAGCGUUGUUCGGAAUUACUGGGCGUAAAGGGCCAGUAGGCGGCCAACUAAGUCCGACGUGAAAUCCCCAGGCUCAACUUGGGAACUGCGUCGGAUACUGGAUGGCUUGAAUUCGGGAGAGGGAUGCAGAAUUCCGGGUGUAGCGGUGAAAUGCGUAGAUAUCGGGAGGAAUACCAGUGGCGAAGGCGGCGACCUGGGCCAAUACUGACGCUGAGGUGCGAAAGCGUGGGGAGCAAACAGG